CCCUUGAUAGCUCAGUUGGUUAGAGUGUGGUAUGGAUAACACCAAGGUUGCAGGUUCGAUCCCCAUAAGGGA